GCAGUCGAGCGGAUGGAUUAGAGCUUGCUCUUAUGAAGUUAGCGGCGGACGGGUGAGUAACACGUGGGUAACCUGCCCAUAAGACUGGGAUAACUCCGGGAAACCGGGGCUAAUACCGGAUAACAUUUUGAACCGCAUGGUUCGAAAUUGAAAGGCGGCUUCGGCUGUCACUUAUGGAUGGACCCGCGUCGCAUUAGCUAGUUGGUGAGGUAACGGCUCACCAAGGCAACGAUGCGUAGCCAACCUGAGAGGGUGAUCGGCCACACUGGGACUGAGACACGGCCCAUACUCCUACGGGAGGCAGCAGUAGGGAAUCUUCCGCAAUGGACGAAAGUCUGACGGAGCACCGCCGCGUGAGUGAUGAAGGCUUUCGGGUCGUAAAACUCUGUUGUUAGGGAAGAACAAGUGCUAGUUGAAUAAGCUGGCACCUUGACGGUACCUAACCAGAAAGCCACGGCUAACUACGUGCCAGCAGCCGCGGUAAUACGUAGGUGGCAAGCGUUAUCCGGAAUUAUUGGGCGUAAAGCGCGCGCAGGUGGUUUCUUAAGUCUGAUGUGAAAGCCCACGGCUCAACCGUGGAGGGUCAUUGAAAACUGGGAGACUUGAGUGCAGAAGAGGAAAGUGGAAUUCCAUGUGUAGCGCUGAAAUGCGUAGAGAUAUGGAGGAACACCAGUGGCGAAAGGCGACUUUUCUGGUCUGUAACUGACACUGAGGCGCGAAAGCGUGGGGAGCAAACAGGAUUAGAUACCGCUG
rnacentral:rRNA from 1 species